rnacentral:rRNA from 1 species
UACGUAGGGAGCGAGCGUUGUUCGGAUUUACUGGGCGUAAAGAGCGCGUAGGCGGGUGCGCAAGGCGGUUGUGAAAUCCUCUGGCUCAACCAGAGAAUUGCAGCCGAAACUGCGCAUCUUGAAUCCAGCAGAGGGAAUUGGAAUCCUAGGUGUAGCGGUGAAAUGCGUAGAUAUCUAGGAGAACACCAGUGGCGAAGGCGGAUUCCUGGGCUGGUAUUGACGCUGAGGUGCGAAAGCGUGGGGAGCAAACAGG